AGAGUUUGAUCCUGGCUCAGAUUGAACGCUGGCGGCAGGCCUAACACAUGCAAGUCGAGCGGAAACGAUGGUAGCUUGCUACCAGGCGUCGAGCGGCGGACGGGUGAGUAACGCGUAGGAAUCUACCUAGUAGUGGGGGAUAGCCAGGGGAAACCCUGGCUAUUACCGCAUACGCCCUAUACGGGGGAAAGUGGGGGACCUUCGGGCCUCACGCUAUUAGAUGAGCUUGCGUAGGAUUAGUUAGUUGGUGAGGUAAUGGCUCACCAAGGCAACGAUCCUUAGCUGGUCUGAGAGGACGAUCAGCCACACUGGGACUGAGACACGGCCCAGACUCCUACGGGAGGCAGCAGUGGGGAAUAUUGGACAAUGGGCGCAAGCCUGAUCCAGCAAUACCGCGUGUGUGAAGAAGGCCUGAGGGUUGUAAAGCACUUUCAAUUGUGAAGAAAAGCCUGAGGUUAAUAGCCUUGGGUCUUGACGUUAACUUUAGAAGAAGCACCGGCUAACUCUGUGCCAGCAGCCGCGGUAAUACAGAGGGUGCGAGCGUUAAUCGGAAUUACUGGGCGUAAAGAGUACGUAGGCGGUUUAGUAAGUCAGAUGUGAAAGCCCUGGGCUCAACCUGGGAACUGCAUUUGAAACUGCUGAACUAGAGUGUGGUAGAGGGAAGUGGAAUUCAGGGUGUAGCGGUGAAAUGCGUAGAUAUCCUGAGGAACACCAGUGGCGAAGGCGACUUCCUGGACCAACACUGACGCUGAGGUACGAAAGCGUGGGUAGCAAACAGGAUUAGAUACCCUGGUAGUCCACGCCGUAAACGAUGUCAACUAGUUGUUGGGAGCAUCUUGGCUCUUAGUAACGCAGCUAACGCGAUAAGUUGACCGCCUGGGGAGGUCGCAAGAUUAAAACUCAAAGGAAUAGACGGGGACCCGCACAAGUGGUGGAGCAUGUGGUUUAAUUCGAAAAUACGCGAAGAACCUUACCUAGACUUGACAUACCGAGAAUCCACCAGAGAUGGAGGAGUGCCUGCUUGCAGGAAUUCGGAUACAGGUGCUGCACGGCUGUCGUCAGCUCGUGUCGUGAGAUGUUGGGUUAAGUCCCGCAACGAGCGCAACCCUCGUCGUUAGUUGCUAACAGUUCGGCUGAGCACUCUAGCGAGACUGCCUUCGCAAGGAGGAGGAAGGUGGGGACGACGUCAAGUCAUCAUGGCCCUUACGACCAGGGCUACACACGUGCUACAAUGGGAAGAACAAAGAGUUGCGAAGCCGCGAGGUGUAGCUAAUCUCACAAAUCUUUUCGUAGUCCGGAUCGGAGUCUGCAACUCGACUCCGUGAAGUCGGAAUCGCUAGUAAUCGUGGAUCAGAACGCCACGGUGAAUACGUUCCCGGGUCUUGUACACACCGCCCGUCAUACCAUGGGAGUGGGUUGCACCAGAAGUAGCUAGUCUAACUGUUUACAGGGGACGGUUACCACGGUGUGAUUCAUGACUGGGGUAAAGUCGUAACAAGGUAACC
rnacentral:rRNA from 1 species